CACUCCUGUUCCCAAUUACGGUCCACAAGCGUACCCGGUGCGCUCUCGCACGACUCUACGGUCUGCGCUCCAAAAAGAUUACUUCGGCCACGAGCAUCACCUGUUCCAGGAGCGUCUGCUAUUGCUUCUACAUUCCAUCGCCAGUGGCGUCCUGCUGGUAGACUGGACUCGUCUCCACGCCCAGCGCUACUACAGCUUCUGCACUCUUGUUUUCAAUUGCGGUCCACAAGCGUACCCAGCGCGCUCUUGCACGACUCUACGGUCUGCGCCCCAAUAAGAUUACUUCGGUCACGAGCAUCACCUGUUCCAGGAGCAACUGCUAUUGCUUCUACAUUCCAUCGCCAGUGGCGUGCUGCUGGUAGACUGGACUCGUCUCCUCACCCUGCGCGACUACUGCUUCUGCACUCCUGUUCCCAAUUACGGUCGACAAGCGUACCCAGCGCGCUCUUGCACGACUCUACGGUCUGCGCCCCAAUAAGAUUACUUCGGUCACGAGCAUCACCUGUUCCAGGAGCAACUGCUAUUCCUUCUACAUUCCCUCGCCAGUGGCGUCCUGCUCGUAGACUUGACUCGUCUGCUCGCCCUGCGCUACUACUACUGCAUCUGCACUCCUGUUCCCAAUUACGGUCGACAAGCGUACCCAGCGCGCUCUUGCACGACUCUACGGUCUGCGCCCCAAUAAGAUUACUUCGGUCACGAGCAUCACCUGUUCCAGGAGCAACUGCUAUUCCUUCUACAUUCCCUCGCCAGUGGCGUCCUGCUUGUAGACUUUACUCGUCUCCUCGCCCUACGCUACUA